CAGCACCUCAAGUGGUCAGGAUGAUUAUUGGGCCUAAAGCAUCCGUAGCCGGCGCUGUAAGUUUUCGGUUAAAUCUGUGCGCUCAACGUACAGGCUGCCGGGAAUACUGCAGAGCUAGGGAGUGGGAGAGGUAGACGGUACUCGGUAGGAAGGGGUAAAAUCCUUUGAUCUAUUGAUGACCACCUGUGGCGAAGGCGGUCUACCAGAACACGUCCGACGGUGAGGGAUGAAAGCUGGGGGAGCAAACCGGAUUAGAUACCCGCGUAGUCC
rnacentral:rRNA from 1 species